UAGUCCACACCGUAAACGAUGAUUACUAGGUGUUGGAGGAUUGACCCCUUCAGUGCCGCAGUUAACACAAUAAGUAAUCCACCUGGGGAGUACGACCGCAAGGUUGAAACUCAAAGGAAUUGACGGGGGCCCGCACAAGCAGUGGAGUAUGUGGUUUAAUUCGACGCAACGCGAAGAACCUUACCAAGUCUUGACAUCCCUUGACGAUGCUGGAAACAGUAUUUCUCUUCGGAGCAAGGAGAC
rnacentral:rRNA from 1 species